GACACAGAAUCCUAAACUUCAACACAUCAGCAGCUUUAAUCCCAAAACCGGAAGAUGCAAAGAAACAAUGGCAGAGAUUAGAAGAUAACCCGGCUAGCAAAUUACAGUCAUUUUCUCCCGAUACCUUCGUCUUCCUUCUAGUACAUCAAAAUUUCCAUGACUGGAUAUUAGAAGCACAAAGGUGCUUGGAAGAAAGCUAUUGCACUAAACAAUGGAGCAUCAAACAGUUCAAUCAGGACUUGUGGAACAGAUUCUGAGUGAGGAAGAACAUUAGCACAACACCCACCAAAACCUCCAUGGAUGCUCACAACACUGCACUCAACAUAAGCAGCUUCAUGGCUGACAUUUCAGUAUAUACGCGAACUAUAAAUUUUUUUCUGAUAUUGGAGCUUUAGCUAUUUGUUUCUUCAAUUGAUUUAUGUCUUUCAGAAAGAAAAGGAAAAGAAAAUUCUUAUGGAAAGAAAAUUUCACAUCGGUGAGCUCCUGCCUGCAGAUAGUGUUUUCUUCCUUUUUGUUUCUCAAUUUGCGUUGACUUAUAGCAGUUCUAUUCUCACCAAGUUUUAAAGGUUUUUUAUUCUGCUUUAUUCAAUCGUUUCAAUUUGCGUUGAAAGAAAAAUCUUG